CUCGAAUUCGACAUUGAUACACAAAAGUAACCAAAUUCUGCGCAUUUUUACUAGUAUUUGAAGAUGAAGAAUCAGCUACUUGUACACCAUUUUCACCAAAGCAAGACGGAAAAUCUCUCAUUUUUUUCCCUUUUACAAAGAACUCUAAUUCACUAAAGUGAAACUCUCACUCAGGUCUUUCGACAAACACUUGAACCCAAUUUUGCAUCUCAAAAGCCCAUCUCAUAAACGC
rnacentral:misc_RNA from 1 species